CGAAAAAUCGGCCAUGAUCUGAAUAAAGACCAAGUUUUCUUGUUUUUUUUCGAGAGUACGCGAAUUUGAGUUACAAGAAGACUACAACUUGUUGCAAAAAACGAGCGUAGUUCACACACCACACCAAGGCUAGUCCGAAGACAGCCACCACCAACAACACAACUACAAAGCAAAAAUAGCUUGUCCAAAAUCAGAGCAACAUCGCCGCGUCUUGACCAUCGCCGGUGACCUCCGAAGACAACACCAACUCCGGGUGAACUUCCCUCGUCGACGUACCAUCCACCCUUUGAUGCCUAAAAGGAGGUGGCAAGUAAAUGGAGGAACUUGAUCAGUCCACAAAAGGCACUGUCUUGGAUUCACCGGCGAUGACGUACAUUGCGCCACUGAAGAUCGUCUUGGACAGCGGCGAGCGCCGGAAGCACCGCAACAUAGAACCUCAUGACCAUGUCUUCAAGCGCAAUGCUCCCAACAGAGUAACGACAUAGAGGACGUCGCCAUCACGCCGAUUCGACUCCGAACCUAGGCUUUCGCCCGAAGACCGCUACCAAUCCCAGGCGCGAGAUAUGGAGAUGCCGACACACCUUGGCGACGCCUCCAAGGAGAAGAACGACACCCAUGGGCACCGUCAUCGCUAGCACCGAACACGGGCAGGAAUUUCUUCUGGAUCGCCGCACACCUUCAUCCCUGCCUCUCCAGAUUGGGGCCACAGCAUCCAAGUUGGCCACUCCGCCGACGCAGCAGCACUUCGCCAUCAUAGCCGAGAAGUCGGUGUCCCUCCCAAGACCCGCACAGCCAGGAGCACACAACCAUACCACCAGCACCUCCACGGCUGAGAACUCGCCGAGCUCCCUCCAUGCCCGACCAAGGGAUGCCGGACCACACACCAGCCAACUCCCGACAGACGACUGUGUGACGGCCCAACAGCCCAGAUCAGACCCAUCCGGCCCGCUCCACCACCUCCAGCACCCACGACCACGAAGACCAGGAGGGGCACCACGACGAAGGCGCGAGGGCCGCGACAUGCUCGGCCGCCUCAAGCACAGCCUCUCCUGGCCGAGCACCACCACGCCACCACGGUCGAACCGCGCCGCCGCCGCCUUGACCCGCCAAGUCCUGUGUCGUUGGCUCCAGGAGGGACCACCGCGCCGCGACCAACUCCUCCUGCGAGCCCCAGCCGCACACCUCCACCCCACUGCGAAGCUCUGCCGUGCGCCGUCACUCGAGCUCCAGAUCUCGCAGCCAAAAACUCCACAACACCCACCACUGCGAGGGGCGUGCCCGACCAGCGCGAGCGCCAGAUCCCGCCAUCGUCGGCCGCCAACGGGAUUUGCCCACCGACGAGCGCCGACGGCGGUGAGAGGGGGUGAGGGAGAGGGGGCGGCGGUGGCGGCGUUUAGGGUUCCGCCCGAGCCGCCCCUACGGGGCGACGCGGGGGCGAAAGGUAGGAAGGGGAGAAGUAUUCAGUUAGUGAGAGCAGAAGUACCAAGUUUUCU
rnacentral:rRNA from 1 species